rnacentral:rRNA from 1 species
UUCCGGUUGAUCCCGCCGGAGGCUACCGCUAUUGGAGUUCGAUUAAGCCAUGCGAGUCGCGAGUCUUAGGGACUCGGCGUACCGCUCAGUAACACGUGGGUAACCUGCCCUAUGCUGGGGGAUAACCUCGGGAAACUGAGAAUAAUACCCCAUAGUUCACCACGCCUGGAACGGUGGGUGGAUCAAAGCUCCGGCGGCAUAGGAUGGGCCUGCGGCGUAUCAGGUUGUAGGGGGUGUAAUGUACCCUCUAGCCCUCUACGCGUACGGGUGUUGAGAGACAUCGCCCGGAGAUGGAUUCUGAGACACGAAUCCAGACCCUACGGGGUGCAGCAGGCGCGAAAACUUGGCAAUGCGAGAAAUCGUGACCAGGGAACUCCAAGUGCAUCGGGUAAGACCGAUGCUUUUCUUGACUCUUCAAAGGUCUUGGAAUAAGGGGUGGGUAAGGACGGUGCCAGCCGCCGCGGUAAUACCGGCGCCCCAAGUGGUAGUCGCUUUUAUUGGGCCUAAAACGUCCGUAGCCGGUCUGGUACAUUCGUGGGUAAAUCAACCAGCUCAACUGGUUGAAUUCUGCGAGCACGGCCAGACUUGGGACCGGGAGAGGUGUGGGGUACUCUCAGGGUAGGGGUAAAAUCCUGUCAUCCUGAGAGGACCACCUGUUGCGAAGGCGCCACACUAGAACGGAUCCGACGGUCAGGGACGAAGCCUAGGGGCACGAACCGGAUUAGAUACCCGGGUAGUCCUAGGUGUAAACGCUGUGGACUUGAUGUUGGGGGCGCUCCGAGCGCACUCAGUGUCGAAGCGAAGGUGAUAAGUCCACUGCCUGGGGAGUACGGUCGCAAGGCUGAAACUUAAAGGAAUUGGCGGGGGAGCACCGCAACCUGAGGAUUGUGCGGUUUAAUUGGAUUCAACGCCGG